rnacentral:rRNA from 1 species
CCUACGGGGGACAGCAGUGAGGAAUAUUGGUCAAUGGACGAGAGUCUGAACCAGCCAAGUAGCGUGAAGGAUGACUGCCCUAUGGGUUGUAAACUUCUUUUAUAUGGGAAUAAAAUGUUCCACGUGUGGGAUUUUGUAUGUACCAUAUGAAUAAGGAUCGGCUAACUCCGUGCCAGCAGCCGCGGUAAUACGGAGGAUCCGAGCGUUAUCCGGAUUUAUUGGGUUUAAAGGGAGCGUAGAUGGGUUGUUAAGUCAGUUGUGAAAGUUUGCGGCUCAACCGUAAAAUUGCAAUUGAUACUGGCAGCAUUGAGUACAGUUGAGGUAGGCGGAAUUCGUGGUGUAGCGGUGAAAUGCUUAGAUAUCACGAAGAACUCCGAUUGCGAAGGCAGCCUACUAAACUGCCACUGACAUUGAUGCUCGAAAGUGUGGGUAUCAAACAGGAUUAGAUACCCGAGUAGUC